UGUUGUCGAUGAUGAUGGUGAUGAUGAUGACGAUGAUGAUGAUGAUUAUGAUGAUUCUCCUCACCCUCUUCCUCCUCCUCCCUCCUGUUCUUCCGCAUCGUUGUCGAUCUCAUUGCCAACUUCCUCAUUACACUCGACGUCAACAUCAUCGUCGUCAUCACCAUCGCCAUCAUCAUCA
rnacentral:pre_miRNA from 1 species